AGUAAACUGUGCUGCGAUGCUAGCCUUUCAGUCACUACCAGAGGUCCCAGCAGCAAAAACAAAAAUUGUGGAUGAUACAUUUUAACCUUCUAGAAACUCAGCUAACUCCUUUAGUUUUCAAGAAAUAAUGAAGAAAACAUCAAUAUAUCACCUACCAUCAUUUCAUUACUUGAUGGAUUCAGAAGCUCAAGAAGACACCAGAGAAGCCUAUGAUGACAAGCAGGUGGUCACAGAGAUCAUGGCAAGAUGUUUUAUUCCAACUCUGAUAACAACUACUUCCUGGGAAAGUUUUCAUUUUAUUGGUCAUGAGAUUCGAAUUACUGAGGCCAUGGAUUGUUAUGGUGCUGUUGUUUGGCCAUCGGUAUAAUUUCAUACAGAAUUUGUUACAUUCCAAUUAUUUUUCCAGCCGGUUUUAUUCAUUAUUAUGUUCUAUUUGGAAGAAGAAAACAGGUUCCAUAUUCCUUCUUUGUGACCUCAAAUAGUACUAUGUUUUAGAAAUCAUGUGACUAGGAAAUUAUUUCUCCCAAUUAAUUCUGUAAUUCUAUUUCUUUUCUUUUCUUUUUUUUUGAGACAGAGUCUUGCUCUGUCACCCGGGCUGGAGUGCUGUGGCUUGAUCUCAGCUCACUGCAACCUCUGCCUCCUGGGUUUAAAUGAUUCCCCUGCUGCAGCCUCCUGAGUAGCUGGGACUACAGGCAUGCAACACCACACCAAGCUAAUUUUUGUAAUUUUGGUGGGAAUGGGGUUUCAACCACGUUGGCCAGGCUGGUUUUGAACUCCUUGCCUCAAGUAAUCCAUCCACCUCCACCUCCCAAGGUGCUGGGAUUACAGGCAUAAGCUACCACGCUGGGCCUCAAUUAAUUCUAUUUCUGACUUUAUUGAAAUUUGUAGGAUUAAUACAGGGUGUUGUUUACUUCUUCAGUUUUUAAAAUAAGAGUUUAGAGCAGUAAACAUUUUUAUUUCCCCUUUUAUCAGCUCCAUUUGAGUUAAACAAUUACAUUGAAAUCUAUAUGAGUCUCACAUGUAGAAUGUCCUCAAAGACCCUCAAUCCUUUACCAACUGUCCCAUGAAGAGUAAUGGACCCACCACCCCACCUGCCCCAAUCCCACACACCACUUGGAAAUGACUAGUAUUAUCAGAAGUUGCUUCCUUUAAAAAUGAUCAAACCUAAGCAAUUGAACUCCACAUUUUUAGUUAUUUCUCUUUUCCUCUCAAUAAUCCCCAAGGAAUUUUUCUAGCAGAAAUGUUGAACCUCUCAGAGGAUGCACUUUUGUUCAUAUUUUUUGGAGUGAUGUACAAGUACACACAUGAGUACUCUCAUGUACUCAUAUGAGCACGCAUACAUAGCAUAACAUUAGCAGCAUAUUUGUCCAAUAAAGUUUAAUUUUACUUUCUGUUAUUACUUGCCAAGCGUCCCUUUUUUUUUUUUUUCUAACUUUCAUAGGCCCUUGUUCUAUGCUAUUUCCUGGAAACAAAUGCAAAGCAGUAUAAUAUGGUUGACAAAAACGUGAUUGAAAUUGGAGCUGGAACAGGGCUAGUCUCCAUUGUGGCAAGUUUACUUGGUGCUCACGUGACGGCCACAGAUUUACCCGAAUUACUUGGAAACCUGCAAUAUAAUAUUUCCCGAAACACCAAAAUGAAAAGCAAGCAUUUGCCUCAGGUUAAAGAACUCUCCUGGGGAGUAGCUUUAGAUACAAACUUCCCCAGGUCUUCUAAUAAUUUUGACUAUAUUUUGGCAGCGGAUGUGGUCUACGCUCAUCCUUUCUUGGAAGAGCUCCUCAUUACCUUUGACCAUCUGUGCAAAGAAACCACCAUCAUCCUGUGGGCCAUGAAAUUCAGGUUGGAGAAGGAAAAUAAAUUUGUAGAUAGAUUUAAGGAGUUGUUUGACCUGGAGGAAAUUUCCAGUUUCCCUAGCCUGAAUAUUAAGUUGUAUAAAGCUGUGAAGAAAAACCGGAGGAGCGUAUGACAUCCUCGAUGAGGAUGUGGAAAUGCUAAGGCAAUUUUUAGCAAAUAAUCACUUUAAAGAAAACCCUGAAUAACUUUAUGUGCCACUGAGUUUCCCAAGGGGAAAUACACACACAGAUGCGCGCGCACACACACACACACACACACACACACACACACACACACACAAAACCCCCUACUACAAGAAUAGAAGAUAGUUUCCCAAAUUUGCCUCACCCCAGGCAGUAAUUUUUCCAGAUACUGCAUGUGAGUCUAGGAUUGGGGUAACUUGUUCCUAGUUUGUCUCUAUCAGCACCCAGGCCCUGGGCCUGCCUUCUACUCAUGCGGUAAUAGAAGCUCUUGGCAAAGUC